GCUAAAUAGAUACUGCACAUUAGAAGGUGCUUAAUAUUUAUCCAAUUAUCUCCAUUUAUGCAUUUUUUUACGCUAAUUUGUGUACACUUAGCAAGUCCUUGCAAUAAUAGCAAGGCAACACUGCAUUUACAAUGGGCCUCACCUAUUAUAUAUGUAGUUUUUUGCCAAGUACAAGUAAGCAACAAAUUGUACCAUGCUUAAUCCAGCUAGUAGCCAAU
rnacentral:misc_RNA from 1 species